rnacentral:rRNA from 1 species
UACAGAGGGUGCGAGCGUUAAUCGGAAUUACUGGGCGUAAAGCGCACGUAGGCGGCUUGGUAUGUCGGGUGUGAAAUCCCCGGGCUCAACCUGGGAACUGCAUUUGUGACUGCACGGCUCGAGUGCGGCAGAGGGGGAUGGAAUUCCGCGUGUAGCAGUGAAAUGCGUAGAUAUGCGGAGGAACACCGAUGGCGAAGGCAAUCCCCUGGGCCUGCACUGACGCUCAUGCACGAAAGCGUGGGGAGCAAACAGG